rnacentral:rRNA from 1 species
GAUGAACGCUGGCGGCGUGCCUAAUACAUGCAAGUCGAGCGAAUGGAUUAAGAGCUUGCUCUUAUGAAGUUAGCGGCGGACGGGUGAGUAACACGUGGGUAACCUGCCCAUAAGACUGGGAUAACUCCGGGAAACCGGGGCUAAUACCGGAUAACAUUUUGAACCGCAUGGUUCGAAAUUGAAAGGCGGCUUCGGCUGUCACUUAUGGAUGGACCCGCGUCGCAUUAGCUAGUUGGUGAGGUAACGGCUCACCAAGGCAACGAUGCGUAGCCGGCCUGAGAGGGUGAUCGGCCAAACUGGGACUGAGACACGGCCCAGACUCCUACGGGAGGCAGCAGGAGGGAAUCUUCCGCAAUGGACGAAAGUCUGACGGAGCAACGCCGCGUGAGUGGUGAAGGCUUUCGGGUCGUAAAACUCUGUUGUUAGGGAAGAACAAGUGCUAGUUGAAUAAGCUGGCACCUUGACGGUACCUAACCAGAAAGCCACGGCUAACUACGUGCCAGCCGCCGCGGUAA